CCCGGUGCCCUCAGGGCGGGCUGAGGGCGGCGCCCCUUUGCCGCCCUGCCGCGGAGCUGGGGCGGUGUCGGGGGCUGUGUGCUCCCCUCAGGAGCUGUAUCUUCAGGGAACCACCGCCAUUCUGGCGAGUCUCGGCCCCUCCGGCCCCGCGCUGGUGAUGCUGAGGAGAACGCUGCGAAGCUGUGAUGGGCUGGGCAGGGCUAAGGCAGGGUGGGCUUGGUUCUCGCUCGCCCCGCUCCACAGUCCAUCACAUUGUGGCCAGAGCGCUUUGAACUGCACUGGUUCAACAUCUCUUCUCGUGGGAAUCCCCUUGCAAAGUUCCCCUUCUGCCUAUGUCUCAGAGAAUUCACUUCACCAUAAGACCGCACAGCUUUCAUAAAAUCCUUUCUUCUCAUGCACUGUUGAAAAGAAUUAAGAUUCAGUGACAGAGAAGGCAAAUCACUGUCAGUUUUCAUUCCUCACCACAAGAAACGAAGUACUGCUGCUGGGGUACUGUGUAUUGUGCUUAAAUGCUAAUGUAACAGUAACAAAGCAUGUGGCUUUC